rnacentral:rRNA from 1 species
AGUGAACGCUGGCGGUAGGCCUAACACAUGCAAGUCGAACGGCAGCACGGUAAGAGCUUGCUCUUACGGGUGGCGAGUGGCGGACGGGUGAGGAAUACAUCGGAAUCUACUUUUUCGUGGGGGAUAACGUAGGGAAACUUACGAUAAUACCGCAUACGACCUACGGGUGAAAGCAGGGGAUCUUCGCACCUUGCGCGAUUGAAUGAGCCGAUGCCGGAUUAGCUAGUUGGCGGGGUAAAGGCCCACCAAGGCGACGAUACGUAGCUGGUCUGAGAGGAUAAUCAGCCACACUGGAACUGAGACACGGUCCAGACUCCUACGGGAGGCAGCAGUGGGGAAUAUUGGACAAUGGGCGCAAGCCUGAUCCAGCCAUACCGCGUGGGUGAAGAAGGCCUUCGGGUUGUAAAGCCCUUUUGUUGGGAAAGAAAAGCAGCAGGUUAAUACCCCGCUGUUCUGACGGUACCCAAAGAAUAAGCACCGGCUAACUUCGUG